GGGCUGUGUUCCACCAAGGGAAAAGUUCGAAUGCAAGUACCAGUGAGUCCCAUGGGAGGGACUUGAUCAUGCAGAGGUAUGAUUGAAGCAGCUGGAGAGUUGGACUGCUCCAGAGCUCAUAUUCGCUUAAGGGGGCCCGGCAAGUCAGAGGACCAGGUCGAGUAAGCGAACGUUGCUACCAAGGAAGCUAAGGAGAACAGAAUCGGUGCAAACCCUA
rnacentral:lncRNA from 1 species